rnacentral:rRNA from 1 species
GAUGAACGCUAGCUACAGGCUUAACACAUGCAAGUCGUGGGGCAUCAUGAUGUAGUAAUACAUUGAUGGCGACCGGCGCACGGGUGAGUAACGCGUAUCCAACCUACCCUCCACUCAAGUAUAGGCUUCCGAAAGGGAGAUUAAUCCUUGAUAUCGUCAUUCUCUCUCCUGUUAGAAUGAUAAAAGGACAUCGUUUCGGUAGAGGAUAGGGAUGCGUUCCAUUAGGUAGUAGGUGGUUUAACAGGCCACCUAGCCGAUGAUGGAUAGGGGUUCUGAGAGGAAUAUCCCCCACACUGGUACUGAGAUACGGACCAGACUCCUACGGGAGGCAGCAGUGAGGAAUAUUGGUCAAUGGGCGCAAGCCUGAACCAGCCAUGUAGCGUGAAGGAUGACGGUUUUUUUGAUUGUAAACUUCUUUUCUGUGCGAUUAAAGUGUGGCAUUUAUGCCAUAUUGCAGUAUCUCAGGAAUA